rnacentral:rRNA from 1 species
GAUGAACGCUGGCGGCGUGCCUAAUACAUGCAAGUCGAGCGAACGGACGAGAAGCUUGCUUCUCUGAUGUUAGCGGCGGACGGGUGAGUAACACGUGGAUAACCUACCUAUAAGACUGGGAUAACUUCGGGAAACCGGAGCUAAUACCGGAUAAUAUUUUGAACCGCAUGGUUCAAAAGUGAAAGACGGUCUUGCUGUCACUUAUAGAUGGAUCCGCGCUGCAUUAGCUAGUUGGUAAGGUAACGGCUUACCAAGGCAACGAUGCAUAGCCGACCUGAGAGGGUGAUCGGCCACACUGGAACUGAGACACGGUCCAGACUCCUACGGGAGGCAGCAGUAGGGAAUCUUCCGCAAUGGGCGAAAGCCUGACGGAGCAACGCCGCGUGAGUGAUGAAGGUCUUCGGAUCGUAAAACUCUGUUAUUAGGGAAGAACAUAUGUGUAAGUAACUGUGCACAUCUUGACGGUACCUAAUCAGAAAGCCACGGCUAACUACGUGCCAGCAGCCGCGGUAAUACGUAGGUGGCAAGCGUUAUCCGGAAUUAUUGGGCGUAAAGCGCGCGUAGGCGGUUUUUUAAGUCUGAUGUGAAAGCCCACGGCUCAACCGUGGAGGGUCAUUGGAAACUGGAAAACUUGAGUGCAGAAGAGGAAAGUGGAAUUCCAUGUGUAGCGGUGAAAUGCGCAGAGAUAUGGAGGAACACCAGUGGCGAAGGCGACUUUCUGGUCUGUAACUGACGCUGAUGUGCGAAAGCGUGGGGAUCAAACAGGAUUAGAUACCCUGGUAGUCCACGCCGUAAACGAUGAGUGCUAAGUGUUAGGGGGUUUCCGCCCCUUAGUGCUGCAGCUAACGCAUUAAGCACUCCGCCUGGGGAGUACGACCGCAAGGUUGAAACUCAAAGGAAUUGACGGGGACCCGCACAAGCGGUGGAGCAUGUGGUUUAAUUCGAAGCAACGCGAAGAACCUUACCAAAUCUUGACAUCCUUUGACAACUCUAGAGAUAGAGCCUUCCCCUUCGGGGGACAAAGUGACAGGUGGUGCAUGGUUGUCGUCAGCUCGUGUCGUGAGAUGUUGGGUUAAGUCCCGCAACGAGCGCAACCCUUAAGCUUAGUUGCCAUCAUUAAGUUGGGCACUCUAAGUUGACUGCCGGUGACAAACCGGAGGAAGGUGGGGAUGACGUCAAAUCAUCAUGCCCCUUAUGAUUUGGGCUACACACGUGCUACAAUGGACAAUACAAAGGGCAGCGAAACCGCGAGGUCAAGCAAAUCCCAUAAAGUUGUUCUCAGUUCGGAUUGUAGUCUGCAACUCGACUACAUGAAGCUGGAAUCGCUAGUAAUCGUAGAUCAGCAUGCUACGGUGAAUACGUUCCCGGGUCUUGUACACACCGCCCGUCACACCACGAGAGUUUGUAACACCCGAAGCCCGGUGGGAGUAACCUUUU